CCAGAAGUCCCUAUGACAAAGGAGGCAAGAAUAUACAAUGGAGAAAAGGCAGUCUCUUCAACAAGUAGUGCUGGGAAAACUGGACCGUGACACGUUAAACAAUGAGGCCUUACUCGCUGCAUGUGGAAUCUUUAGUUUCAGCUUAUGGAAAACAGUUUCCCGACAAGGAAUCAACCUUGGGCCCUCUGCUUUGGGAGCUCAGAGUCUGAGCUACUGGACAACUGCAAAAGUCCCCAUAAGGUGUUCUUAAACACAGAAGAAGUAGGCCAAAGAGUCAGAACACAGAGCUGGCAUCAUGAGAAAGACUCGACAGCUGUUGCUGGCUUUGAAGAUGGAAGGGGGCCAUGAGCCAAGGAAUGCAGGCAGCGUCUGGAAGCUGGAAAAGGCAAGGAAAUGACUUUUCCUCGAGAGCCUCCGGAAGGAACACAGUCCUACUGACAACUUGAUUUUAGCCCAGUGAGACCCAUUUUGGAGUUUCUGACUUCCAGAACUACAGGGUAAUACAUCUAUAUUGUUUUAAGAUACCAAGUUUGUGAUAAUUUGUUACAGCAGCAAUAGGAAACUUAUAUACCUCCUUUAAUAAAAAAAUAUAAUUUCAAAGAAAGAUUAUUCUUGGUCACAGAAUAAAAUUGGUCUCAUUCA